rnacentral:rRNA from 1 species
AGAGUUUGAUCCUGGCUCAGGAUGAACGCUGGCGGCGUGCCUAAUACAUGCAAGUCGAGCGAACAGACGAGGAGCUUGCUCCUCUGACGUUAGCGGCGGACGGGUGAGUAACACGUGGAUAACCUACCUAUAAGACUGGGAUAACUUCGGGAAACCGGAGCUAAUACCGGAUAAUAUAUUGAACCGCAUGGUUCAAUAGUGAAAGACGGUUUUGCUGUCACUUAUAGAUGGAUCCGCGCCGCAUUAGCUAGUUGGUAAGGUAACGGCUUACCAAGGCAACGAUGCGUAGCCGACCUGAGAGGGUGAUCGGCCACACUGGAACUGAGACACGGUCCAGACUCCUACGGGAGGCAGCAGUAGGGAAUCUUCCGCAAUGGGCGAAAGCCUGACGGAGCAACGCCGCGUGAGUGAUGAAGGUCUUCGGAUCGUAAAACUCUGUUAUUAGGGAAGAACAAAUGUGUAAGUAACUAUGCACGUCUUGACGGUACCUAAUCAGAAAGCCACGGCUAACUACGUGCCAGCAGCCGCGGUAAUACGUAGGUGGCAAGCGUUAUCCGGAAUUAUUGGGCGUAAAGCGCGCGUAGGCGGUUUUUUAAGUCUGAUGUGAAAGCCCACGGCUCAACCGUGGAGGGUCAUUGGAAACUGGAAAACUUGAGUGCAGAAGAGGAAAGUGGAAUUCCAUGUGUAGCGGUGAAAUGCGCAGAGAUAUGGAGGAACACCAGUGGCGAAGGCGACUUUCUGGUCUGUAACUGACGCUGAUGUGCGAAAGCGUGGGGAUCAAACAGGAUUAGAUACCCUGGUAGUCCACGCCGUAAACGAUGAGUGCUAAGUGUUAGGGGGUUUCCGCCCCUUAGUGCUGCAGCUAACGCAUUAAGCACUCCGCCUGGGGAGUACGACCGCAAGGUUGAAACUCAAAGGAAUUGACGGGGACCCGCACAAGCGGUGGAGCAUGUGGUUUAA